rnacentral:rRNA from 1 species
UGCAGUCGAGCGGACAGAUGGGAGCUUGCUCCCUGAUGUUAGCGGCGGACGGGUGAGUAACACGUGGGUAACCUGCCUGUAAGACUGGGAUAACUCCGGGAAACCGGGGCUAAUACCGGAUGGUUGUUUGAACCGCAUGGUUCAAACAUAAAAGGUGGCUUCGGCUACCACUUACAGAUGGACCCGCGGCGCAUUAGCUAGUUGGUGAGGUAACGGCUCACCAAGGCAACGAUGCGUAGCCGACCUGAGAGGGUGAUCGGCCACACUGGGACUGAGACACGGCCCAGACUCCUACGGGAGGCAGCAGUAGGGAAUCUUCCGCAAUGGACGAAAGUCUGACGGAGCAACGCCGCGUGAGUGAUGAAGGUUUUCGGAUCGUAAAGCUCUGUUGUUAGGGAAGAACAAGUACCGUUCGAAUAGGGCGGUACCUUGACGGUACCUAACCAGAAAGCCACGGCUAACUACGUGCCAGCAGCCGCGGUAAUACGUAGGUGGCAAGCGUUGUCCGGAAUUAUUGGGCGUAAAGGGCUCGCAGGCGGUUUCUUAAGUCUGAUGUGAAAGCCCCCGGCUCAACCGGGGAGGGUCAUUGGAAACUGGGGAACUUGAGUGCAGAAGAGGAGAGUGGAAUUCCACGUGUAGCGGUGAAAUGCGUAGAGAUGUGGAGGAACACCAGUG